rnacentral:rRNA from 1 species
UACGUAGGGUGCGAGCGUUGUCCGGAAUUAUUGGGCGUAAAGGGCUCGUAGGCGGUUUGUCGCGUCGGGAGUGAAAACCAGGUGCUUAACACCUGGCUUGCUUUCGAUACGGGCAGACUAGAGGUAUUCAGGGGAGAACGGAAUUCCUGGUGUAGCGGUGAAAUGCGUAGAGAUCCGGAGGAACACCAAAGGCGAAGGCAGUGUCCUGGGGGAGUACCUGACGCUCAGGUGCGAAAGCCAGGGGGAGCGAACGGG